UACGGAGGGUGCGAGCGUUGUCCGGAAUCAUUGGGCGUAAAGGGCGCGUAGGUGGCGGCUUAAGCGUGCGGUGAAAGCUCGGGGCUCAACCCCGAGUCGGCCGUGCGAACUGAGUCGCUUGAGCACUGUAGAGGCAGGCGGAAUUCCGGGUGUAGCGGUGGAAUGCGCAGAUAUCAGGAGGAACACCAAUAGCGAAGGCAGCUCGCUGGGACGGUACUGACGCUAAGGCGCGAAAGCGUGGGGAGCGAACAGG
rnacentral:rRNA from 1 species